rnacentral:rRNA from 1 species
UGCUGGUGUUGUAUUAGUGGCGAACGGGUGAGUAACACGUGAGUAACCUGCCCCUGACUCUGGGAUAAGCGUUGGAAACGACGUCUAAUACUGGAUAUGAUCGCCGGCCGCAUGGUCUGGUGGUGGAAAGAUUUUUUGGUUGGGGAUGGACUCGCGGCCUAUCAGCUUGUUGGUGAGGUAAUGGCUCACCAAGGCGACGACGGGUAGCCGGCCUGAGAGGGUGACCGGCCACACUGGGACUGAGACACGGCCCAGACUCCUACGGGAGGCAGCAGUGGGGAAUAUUGCACAAUGGGCGAAAGCCUGAUGCAGCAACGCCGCGUGAGGGAUGACGGCCUUCGGGUUGUAAACCUCUUUUAGUAGGGAAGAAGCGAAAGUGACGGUACCUGCAGAAAAAGCACCGGCUAACUACGUGCCAGCAGCCGCGGUAAUACGUAGGGUGCAAGCGUUGUCCGGAAUUAUUGGGCGUAAAGAGCUCGUAGGCGGUUUGUCGCGUCUGCUGUGAAAUCCCGAGGCUCAACCUCGGGCUUGCAGUGGGUACGGGCAGACUAGAGUGCGGUAGGGGAGAUUGGAAUUCCUGGUGUAGCGGUGGAAUGCGCAGAUAUCAGGAGGAACACCGAUGGCGAAGGCAGAUCUCUGGGCCGUAACUGACGCUGAGGAGCGAAAGCAUGGGGAGCGAACAGGAUUAGAUACCCUGGUAGUCCAUGCCGUAAACGUUGGGCGCUAGAUGUAGGGACCUUUCCACGGUUUCUGUGUCGUAGCUAACGCAUUAA